rnacentral:misc_RNA from 1 species
GGGAAGAGUCUGGUUUUGAUUGCGGGUGUCCGAGGGUGCUCUUGACAGCCCGGCAUGAGCUCGGCAUUCUCCGUGGCUUCCGAAUGACAGUCGCCAGUGAGAUACGAGGACGUCAGUCGGGGAGCCGGAUGAUGGGUGGAGAGAGGAGAAGGGGAUGGACGGGUGCGCGGUUUACACCCCGACGUGCGCGGAGUCCGGAGCGGUGCUGAUCAUGCUGGCCGGACUGCUGAUGUUUCCUCUGGGGUUCUCCACACCAUUUUUCCAGUACUACUGCGAGUCCACCCGUGUCUUCUGUGUGGGUCACUGCCGCAUGGGGUGGAGCUACGUGCUUGGCCAUCACGGGCACGGCGCUGGCCAUCUUCUGUCCGGUCCUGUCCAACUACACAGACAUGACAUUCGGGAAAGGACAAAGACAGGGACAGGUCGUCCCCCACCUCUAUGUCCAUCGUAUAGUCACCGAGGCCCGGCCUCGCUUGUCACUGAAGAACGAUCGAGAAACUUUCUACUGUCCUCACCGAGUGAUGAUGAAGAGAAUUUUCUUAAGUGUGACUGUGUCAUAACAGCACACAGACAGGACAGAAACAUGACAGGCGGCUUUAAAACCAUUUUUUUAGAUAACAGAUUCAUGCAAGAUAAAACCCAAAUCUGAGCUAAGGAGCGAAUUUAGGCAGAAACCCUGGCUUCUGUCAAAUCUUUUUGUUAAUUUGCCCUCAAGGUCCAAGUCAUAAUUUGAUGUGCUCGUGACUGAAUUCGUAAAUGUUUCAAGAGGUGGCUUCAAAAUUAAUGCAGUAAAGAUGCAGCAAGCAAGAAGAAUAAUGAUUAGUUAGGAAAACCCUAAAUUGAAAAUCUCAUAAAUAAAAUUUGAUGAGUAAAGUCAAACGUGUGCUAACAGAAAAACUAUUAACAUGAUUGCAUAUUUUUGGAGGUUGGGGUCGAAUUCCGUGAAUCAUUUAUUUCAAUCAUGCCUUCGGCUCUACAUCCACAUAAUCCGUCAGACAUUCAAGUCAAAAAUUCAUAUCAAGAACUAAAAAUCAACUGAUAACUAAUAAUAAUUAAUCAAGACAUGAUUGCUUUAUAAUCUUUGCUCUUAUUUAUUUGCAAUGAGGCUGAACAUGACAUCAACAUAUGUAAGUGUAUUUUGAGUUUUCCAAACUAUAUAUUGUAAAACUACUGUUUGAAUAUUCUUUAUAUAUCUUGAAGUUGUAUCA